GCCCCCGUGAGUAUUGCCCCAAAGAACUCUUUAGAGUCACAGGAGCCGGCAUCAGGCCCAUAAAUAUUAGCCCAUGACGCCCAGCACAUUGCCACACCCCCAAGGGCUAGCAGCAGUAGUAAACAUUAAGCUAUAAGUGAAAACUUGACUUAGCUAAGGCGUUAAGGGCCGGUCAAAACUCGUGCCAGCCACCGCGGUUAUACAAGUGAGCCCAAGCUGAUAAAGAUCGGCGUAAAGGGUGGUUAAGAAUACUGAUCAGUAAAGCCGAGAAUCCCAGCAGCUGUUCAAUGCUUGCAAGGUAUAAAAAGCCCAAACACGAAAGUAGCUUUACAAUUUCUGACCCCACGAAAACUAGGACACAAACUGGGAUUAGAUACCCCACUAUGCCUAGACGUAAACAAUGGCGAUACGUAACAAAUCGCCCGCCCGGGGACUACGAGCGAAAGCUUGAAACCCAAAGGACUUGGCGGCGCUUUAAUCCACCUAGAGGAGCCCGUCCUAGAACCGAUUACCCCCGUUAAACCUUACCCCUCCUAGACACACA
rnacentral:rRNA from 1 species